AAGUUAUAGACAGCUAUAAGACUGAAUUCAGUCAUUCUUAAAGUUUGACUUGUGAUUUUGUCUUUUCUGAUAGAUUUUGUAAUUUUACAUCGAGGAUCUUCAGGAGAAUUAAGCGAAACCCAAACUCCUUGUUCUCAACAAAGACCUUCUGUAUGGCCAAGAACAUGAAACUGCUCCCUCAAGAAGGUGAUGUAGUCCUGCAGCUGCUGCCAGUACUCCUCCCUGCUCCACCUUGCACAUUUGGGAGAAGAGUUUCAGACCAGUCAACCUGGAAGUUCAGAAGGCUUCAAUCUUUUGUAUGGCCAUGAAGAGAAAGCAGCAGCCAUCUUCUCAACAACAUGAAUUUUCUCCCUUUAAGACAGACAAGAUCAUGUAGCCCUGGAGCUGCUGCCAGUACUCCUCCCUGAUCCACCUUACAUAUUUGGGAGAAGAGUUUCAGACCCAUCAACCUGGAAGUUCAGAAGGUUUUAUUUUAUUUUACUAUACUUGUAUUUUACUGUGUGCAAAAAAAAAACAAUGGAUCAUGAUAUGCUACAAAAGAAUUCAAUCUGUAUUGAACAUUGACAUGUUGACAUGAGGCGUAAGUUAAGUACGAAGAGUUUCGUGCUUCUAUAUAUCGGUCAUUUCUCACAAUGAACUUGAA